AAUACAAAAAUACUGCAAAAUGGAUACGGUGUAUGUGCUAUAGUCCAGGAAAAAAGCAUUAAUGCAAGACCGUACCCGAAACCGACACAGGUGAACGAGUCGAGUAGACUCAGGCGUUGAGUGAACCAUAUUGAAGGAACUCGGCAAAAUAAUCCCGUACCUUAGGAAGAAGGGAUACCGAAAGGUGACACAAAAAUGGGGGUGACGACUUUUUACUAAAAAAUUAGGACUCUGCAAAAUGGCAACAUGCUGUAUAGGGUCUGACGUCUGCCCGGUGCUAGAAGUCUAAAAGGCGCAUUGCAAGAUGCAAAUGGAAAGCCUAGUAAACGGCGGUUGUAACUAUAACAAUCAUAAAGUAGCGAAAUUCAUUGCCAGCUAAUUCCUGGCCUGCAUGAAAGACGUAACGAUUGCCCCACUGUCUCCAGUAUGGACUCAGUGAAAUUGAAUUCUCCGUGCAGAUGCGGAGUACGUGCCCCAAGACGAGAAGACCCUGUGCAUCUUUACUGUACAUUUGCAUUGAUAAAACGAUGAGCAUGCGUAGGAUAGGUGGGAGUACAUACAUCCUUGAAAUACCACCCUUGCCAUGGGUUUUGUCUUACACCAAAUUUGGUGCACAAUGCAUGUGAGGCAGUUUGACUGGGGCGGUCGCCUCCUAAAAGGUAACGGAGGCGUGCGAAGGUAAACUCAAUGCAAGACGGAAACUUGCUGAAGAGCGUAAUGGUAUAUGUUUGCCUGACUGUAAGAUGUACACAUCAAACAGAGACGAAAGUCGGCCAUAAUGAUCCACAAGUGCCGCGUGGAAGGGCUUGUGCUUAACGAAUCAAAGAUACGCCAGGGAUAACAGGCUGAUAAUUCCCAAGAGUCCUUAUCGACGGAAUUGUUUGGCACCUCGAUGUUGACUGAUCAUAUCCUGGGGCUGAAGAAGGUCCCAAGGGUUCGGCUGUUCGCCGAAUAAAAUGGUACCUGAGUUGAGUUUAGAACGUCGUGAGACAGUUUGGAUUCUACCUGGGGUGCGCGUAAAAGAAUUGUGAAAACCACGUCCUUGUACGAGAGGACCGGACGUGUACAACCACUGGUCGAGUAAUUGUUUUGCCGAAAGCAUUGUUACCAGGCUACGUUGUGACAGGAAAAGAACUGAAAGCAUCUCAAGUUCGAAACUUUUUUCGAGACAAAUUCUUUAAAAUGUCGUGAAAGAUUAUCACGUUAAUAGCCGAGCUGUCUAUACCAUGAAAAUGAGUAAUGCAUGCUCGGACUAAUCUUUUUUAUUUAAUUCC
rnacentral:rRNA from 1 species